AUGGCCGCGCUCGUCGGCGACGUCGCCUACUGGCUGGCGGAGCACCCGGACAUCGUCGGCUUCCGCUGGAGCCCCUCGGGCCUCUGGUUCUCCACCUGGGCCUUCCUCCUCGGCUUCCUCGCCACCUACGUGUCCCUCUGCCUCGCCGCCGACGCGCUCCUCCGCCGCCGGAAGCCGCUCCCUCUCGGGCCCCUCCCCCCCGCGCACGCGCUCCUCAUGGCCGCCGUCUCGGCCACCAUCUUCGCCGGCACGCUGCUGUCGGCGGUGGCGGAGAUUCGGGACACGCGCUGGUCGUGGCGGGGCCGGAGCCGGACGACGCCGCUCCGGUGGCUCCUCUGCUUCCCGCCGGGGACCCGCUCGUCCGGCCGCGUCUUCUUCUGGUCCUACGCCUACUACCUCUCCCGGUACCUCCACGCGGCCCGGGGCGCGUUCGCGGUGGUCAGGCGCCGGCGCGGGGCGGCCGCCCGGGUGUUCGCGCACGCCGCGUCCGUGGCCAUGGCCUUCCUGUGGCUCGAGUUCUCGCAGUCGUUCCAGGUGCUGGCCAUCCUCGCCUCCACGCUCGCCCACGCCGUCGCCUUCGGGUUCCGCUUCUGGGUCGACAGCGCGGGGCUCCCGGCGGCGCGCGCCGCCCGGAGCGGGUCGGCGCCCGUGGCGCUGGGGUGCCAGCUCGGGCUGCUGGGGUGCAACCUGGUGUGCCACGCGGGGGUGGUGUGGAUGCACUUCGGGGGCGCGAUGGCCGGCGGGUGCAGCGGCAUCGGGGCCUGGGUGGUCAACACGCUGCUCAACGCCGCGCUGCUCUGGGUGUUCCUGCACUGCUACGGCACGCGCGGCGUCUGCGACGACGACGGGGGCGCCGCCGCCGCCGCCGCCGCCUUGAAGAAGAAGAAGAAGAAGAAGGAGAUGUGA
rnacentral:rRNA from 1 species